UGGUCGACAAUGCCUCAUACCCGGUAUGGGCGUCGAUCUCGGGUAAGGGGUGUUACAGUCUCAGGCCGUGUAACAUUCAAAAUAGGGACACACAGCCGUGUACUAGCCUAUGUCCAUGCCCGUGUAACUCUUUGAGUUAGGUCACACGACCAAGCCACACGCCCAUGUGUUAAGCUAUGUAACUCUCAAAAUGGCCUUACACACCCAUGUGCUAGGCCGUGUAAUUGUCUGACUUGUAACCUUUAAAACCUACAAGGGACACAUGACCGUGUCUCAUGGCUAUGUG
rnacentral:lncRNA from 1 species